rnacentral:rRNA from 1 species
AUGGAGCGUCGAUCCACCCUUGGUUUCUCUUUACAGCUACAUAUCCUCUCCCUUGCCCUAAACCUUGCAUCCUUCACCACAGCCACUGCCACCAGUGAGGAGGGCCAAUUUGUCUGCUCUGGCUUCUCCGGCAGUACUGACCUCACCCUUGAUGGCACAGCCACGGUUACACCAGAUGGGGUUCUCAAGCUGACCAACGGCACUGUUCACCUCAAGGGCCAUGCGUUCUACCCAACUCCAUGGCAAUUCCACAAGUCGCCCAAUGGGGCGGUACAGUCCUUCUCAAUAAUCUUCGUGUUCGGCAUGGUCCCCGUCUACUCCGAUCAAUGUACUGAUGGCAUGACUUUCCUCAUAUCUCCCACCAAGGAUUUCUCAGGUGCACAAACCUCUCAAUACUUGGGCCUCCUCAAGAAAACAAAUGAUGGCAAACCAAGCAACCACAUAUUUGCAGUCGAGCUUGAUAGUAGCCAAAAUACAGAGUUCAACGACAUCGAUGACAACCAUGUCGGCAUCAACAUCAAUAGUCUCACCUCCACCGAAGCCCGACCAGCUGGCUUCUACGAUGACAAGAACAACGGUAUGUUCAACAACUUGUCUCUCGUUAGCCACAAGGAAAUGCAAGUGUGGGUGGAUUAUGAUGGAGAUACCACACGGAUCAAUGUGACCUUGGCUCCCCUCAAGGUAGCCAAACCAUUGAGGCCACUAGUCUCAACUACCUACAACCUCUCAACAGUGCUACAAGAUCAGUCCUAUGUCGGAUUCUCGGCUUCAACCGGUCCAAUCAACUCACUGUAUUGUGUGCUUGGCUGGAGCAUGGGCAUAAACCGUCCUGCCCCGGACAUUGACAUCACCAAACUGCCAAAGCUACCUCGAAUUGGCCCAAAACCUCAGUCCAAAGUUCUGAAGAUCGUCCUACCAAUAGCCACUACCACUUUCACCUUUCUUGUAGGAACAACUAUAAUUCUAUUCGUGCGGAGGCGAAUGAGGUAUGCCGAGCUACACGAAGACUGGGAGGAUGAGUAUGGGCCACACCGUUUCUCCUACAAGGAUUUAUUCCAUGCUACUCAAGGAUUUCAUGAUCAGAACCUACUUGGCCAUGGAGGAUUUUGGAAGGUGUAUAAAGGUGUUCUUCCGGUCUCUAAACUGGAGGUUGCGGUGAAGAGGGUGUCCCACGAGUCAAAGCAAGGAAUUAAGGAGUUCAUCGCCGAGAUUGUUAGUAUCAGCCGUAUCCGCCACCGCAACAUCGUCCAGUUACUCGGUUAUUAUUUGAAAUCAUCAAAGGUGUUGCAUCUGACUUAUUUUACCUUCACGAGAGGUGGGAGAAAGUUGUCAUCCACCGAGAUAUCAAAGCAAGCAAUGUGCUUCUUGAUAGUGAAAUGA